AACGAACGCUGGCGGCAGGCUUAACACAUGCAAGUCGAACGCAUCCUUCGGGGUGAGUGGCAGACGGGUGAGUAACGCGUGGGAACGUGCCCUUCAGUUCGGGAUAACCCAGGGAAACUUGGGCUAAUACCGGAUACGUGCGAGAGCAGAAAGAUUUAUCGCUGAAGGAUCGGCCCGCGUCUGAUUAGCUAGUUGGUGGGGUAAUGGCCCACCAAGGCGACGAUCAGUAGCUGGUCUGAGAGGAUGAUCAGCCACAUUGGGACUGAGACACGGCCCAAACUCCUACGGGAGGCAGCAGUGGGGAAUAUUGGACAAUGGGCGCAAGCCUGAUCCAGCCAUGCCGCGUGAAGGAAGAAGGCUUUCGGGUUGUAAACUUCUUUUGUCAGGGACGAACACAAUGACGGUACCUGACGAAUAAGCCACGGCUAACUACGUGCCAGCAGCCGCCGCGGUAA
rnacentral:rRNA from 1 species